rnacentral:rRNA from 1 species
GAUGAACGCUGGCGGCGUGCCUAAUACAUGCAAGUCGAGCGAACGGACGAGAAGCUUGCUUCUCUGAUGUUAGCGGCGGACGGGUGAGUAACACGUGGAUAACCUACCUAUAAGACUGGGAUAACUUCGGGAAACCGGAGCUAAUACCGGAUGAUAUUUUGAACCGCAUGGUUCAAAAGUGAAAGACGGUCUUGCUGUCACUUAUAGAUGGAUCCGUGCUGCAUUAGCUAGUUGGUAAGGUAACGGCUUACCAAGGCAACGAUGCAUAGCCGACCUGAGAGGGUGAUCGGCCACACUGGAACUGAGAAACGGUACAGACUCCUACGGGAGGCAGCAGUAGGGAAUCUUCCGCGAUGGGCGAAAGCCUGACGGAGCAACGCCGCGUGAGUGAUGAAGGUCUUCGGAUCGUAGAACUCUGUUAUUAGGGAAGAACAUAUGUGUAAGUAACUGUGCACAUCUUGACGGUACCUAAUCAGAAAGCCACGGCUAACUACGUG